rnacentral:tRNA from 1 species
UGGCGGAAUUGGCAGACGCACUAGACUUAGGAUCUAGCGCCUUUGGCGUGGGGGUUCGACUCCCUU